rnacentral:rRNA from 1 species
AGCAGCCGCGGUAAUUCCAGCUCCAAUAGCGUAUAUUAAAGUUGUCGCAGUUAAAAAGCUCGUAGUUGAAUUUCGGGGUCAGUAGAUUGGUCGUGCCACUGGUAUGUACUGGUCUCACUGGCUCCUCCUUCCUGAUGAACCGUAAUGCCAUUAAUUUGGUGUUGCGGGGAGACUGGACUGUUACUUUGAAAAAAUUAGAGUGUUUAAAGCAGGCUAACGCUUGAAUACAUUAGCAUGGAAUAAUGUAAUAGGACGUUCGAUCUUAUUUUGUUGGUUUCUAAGAUUGACGUAAUGAUUAAUAGGGAUAGUUGGGGGCAUUAGUAUUCAAUUGUCAGAGGUGAAAUUCUUGGAUUUAU